CAUACAGUAUGUGGCCACAUUAUUACAGCAGGACUUGGGAGAAUGAUCUGAAACAGGCAGCGCAUUCAGUAUCAGAAGUAAAAAAUAAAGCCAAACUGGCCUGCUAGUGUUCCUUUCUAGACCCUAUAAACUGUCGAGAGUUGAACCCACAACUGAUCCAAAUGGAAUGAAACAUUCAUAUCACACGGCUUUUGCACCGCUAUUCGUAUGACAUUUUCACCCUCAUUGCUGCUGGAGUUCUUCGGGGAACUUCGCAAUUGCAACUGAAAACACUCGUACCAAGUUUGAAUGAGACAACAGUUAAAAAGGAUAGAACAUGGACACAAUGCAAUUGGGAUCAAGAAGAAGGACUCGAGACCACAGCAGCGAUCCUGCUCUUGCCCUACCUCUUCAAUGAGGACCCGAGUGGCCUUUAUGUCCGUGACAAGAUUUCACUGCUCCCCACUCCUUUACUGCACAUCAGCAGAAAUCCAUUUCACCAUGACAGUGAAAUCACACUGUUCUUAAGUUACUGUGUUCUGGGGAUAAGAGAAGUUGGGGUGAAGUUACCAGGGCCGGUCAUAAAGAUGGCAAACUUCCUAACAUAACUAAGUGGUUGUUGGACACACACACACACACACUAAAGCUAAAAAUCUGUAUUUAGCAUCAAGGUUUACCUAUGAUUCAUUUUUAAUGUAUUUUGUUUAUAUUGUACAUCAUUAUUGUAUUUUUUUUAAAUGUAAUGAAAGGACUAUACAAAUUAAAUGUAUUAUUUAUUAUGGUCUGACAUGUUUUCAAAGGUUCUUCGAAUAACUUUUAGGGGUUCCCCCACAGUUUCAAUUUGAAGAACCCCUAAAGGAUACUCCAGGUACCUUUUCUUUUUAGAGUGUAGACUAUACUGACCGGUUGUAUAGUAAAAGUUAGAGUGCGGAAAAGCAUAGUGCAUAAGGGAAGUACCAAAACAUCUUGAUAUAGGGGAGGCUCGCAAAGCAACAAAACAAGUUUGACAACCCUCCAACCCUAUUUUGGAGAAAGCGCUUG